CCCCGGUGAAAACGCCCUUAAAUUCCUACAAGGAAUAAGGAGCUGGUAUCAGGCGCCCAUUGCCCAUAACACCUAGCUUAGCCACACCCACAAGGGAUAUCAGCAGUGAUUAACAUUGAUAAUAAGCGUCAGCUUGACUCAGUUAAAGUAAAAAGAGCCGGCUAAUCUGGUGCCAGCCGCCGCGGUUACACCAUGUGGCUCAAACUGAUCUUUAUCGGCGUAAAGCGUGAUUAAAGUGCCCACAACUUGGAAUUAAAACUAGACUAAGCUGUGACACGCUUGUCUCUGGGAAACUUAAAAUCAAAAGAUAUUCCAAUUAACUCAACUUGAAUCCACGACAGCUAAGAAACAAACUGGGAUUAGAUACCCCACUAUGCUUAGCCGUAAACCUUAAUUUACAUCACCCAUCGCCUGGGAACUACGAGCAAAGCUUAAAACCCAAAGGACUUGACGGUACCCCAUAUCCACCUAGAGGAGCCUGUCCUAUAAUCGAUAAUCCACGUUUAACCUCACCCCUCCUAGCCUCUCAGCCUGUAUACCUCCGUCGUCAGCUUACCACGUGAGCGUACUUUAGUGAGCUUAAUGUUCAUUCACCAAAACGUCAGGUCAAGGUGCAGUAAAUGAAGGGGGAAGAGAUGGGCUACACUCUCUAUCCUAGAACAUACGAAUGACUAUUUAUGAAAUCUAGUCGGAAGGCGGAUUUAGUAGUAAAAUGGAACCAUAAUAUCCAUUUUAACCCGGCACUGGGGUGUGUACACACCGCCCGUCACCCUCUUCAAAGCUUCAUACAAGUUACUAACAAACCCAUGCUAUUCAGAAGAGGCAAGUCGUNNNNNNNNNNNNNNNNNNNNNNNNNNNNUUGGAAA
rnacentral:ncRNA from 1 species